rnacentral:rRNA from 1 species
AAUGAACGCUGGCGGCGUGCCUAACACAUGCAAGUCGGAUGUGCCGCAAGGUGCAUGGCAGACGGGUGAGUAACGCGUGGGGAACCUACCUUUUCGUGGGGAAUAACGAUCCGAAAGGAUUGGUAAUACCGCAUGAGACCGAUGGCUGGGAUGCUGUCGGUGAAAGCCGGGGAUCGAAAGACCUGGCGCGGGAAGAGGGGCCUGCGUCUGAUUAGCUAGUUGGUGGGGUAAUGGCCUACCAAGGCGACGAUCAGUAGCCGGCCUGAGAGGGUGAUCGGCCACACUGGAACUGAGACACGGUCCAGACUCCUACGGGAGGCAGCAGUGGGGAAUUUUGCGCAAUGGGCGAAAGCCUGACGCAGCAACGCCGCGUGGGUGAUGAAGGUCUUCGGAUUGUAAAACCCUGUCGUCGGGGACGAAGGUGGGCUCGUUAAUAGCGAGUUUGCUUGACGGUACCCGGAGAGGAAGCCCCGGCUAACUCUGUGCCAGCAGCCGCAGUAAAAC